rnacentral:rRNA from 1 species
CUGAACGCUGGCGGCGUGGCUAAGACAUGCAAGUCGAACGGGUGUAGCAAUACACCAGUGGCGGGACGGGUGAGUAAUGUAUCGCUAAUGUACCCCUUGAGUCUGGGAUAGCCAGCCGAAAGGCUGGGUAAUACCAGAUGAAAUAUCCGGAUGGCAUCAAUCUGGAUCUCAAAGGAGCAAUCCGCUCUAGGCGCAGGCGAUAUCGUAUCAGCUAGUUGGUGAGGUAACGGCUCACCAAGGCGAGACGACGCGUAGCCGGGCUGAGAGGUUGGCCGGCCACAUUGGGAACUGAGACACUGCCCAGACUCCUACGGGGGGCUGCAGUAACGAAUCUUCCGCAUGCACGAAAGUGUGGCGGAGCGACGCCGCGUGUAGGAUGAUAAGUCCUUCGGGAUGUAACCUACUGUCAGGGGAAAGAAGUUCUGAUCUACCCCAGAGGAAGAGACGGCUAACUCUGUGCCAGCAGCCGCGGUAAUACAGAGGUCUCGAGCGUUAGGCGGAAUCACUGGGCUUAAAAGCGUGUGUAGGCGGAUCGUUAAGUACCCUUGUGAAAUCCCACGGCUCAACCGUGGAACUGCUUGGUAUACUGGCGGUCUUGUGCAACCUAGGGGCGAGCGGAACAGAUGGUGGAGCGGUGAAUGCGUAGAUAUCAUCUUGGAACGCCAUAUGGUGAAAACAGCUCGCUGGGGGUUUGCAGACGCUGAGACACGAAAGCCAGGGGAGCGAACGGGAUAGAUACCCGGUAGUCCUGGCCCUAACGAUGUCCACUAGAUCGUAGCUGCUCUGACGUAGUUAUGGUCGAAGCAAAGUGCUAAGUGGACCGCCUGGGAAGUACGGUCGCAAGGCUAAAACUCAAAGGAAUUGACGGGGGGGCUCACACAAGCGGUGGAGCAUGUGGUUCAAUUCGAAGCAACGCGCAAGAACCUUACCUGGGCUUGACAUGCUAGGAUUAUCCCUAUGAAAGUAGGGUAGGCCCUUCGGGUACAACUAGUACAGGUGCUGCAUGGCUGUCGUCAGCUCGUGUCGUGAGAUGUCGGGUUAAGUCCCUUAACGAGCGAAACCUUUGCCCUUAGUUACUAACGGGUUUAUGCCGAGGACUCUAAGGGGACUGCCGGUGUCAAACCGAGGAAGGAAGGUGGAGAUGACGUCAAGUCCUCAUGGCCUUUAUGCCCAGGGCCACACACGUGCUACAAUGGGGUGCAUAGAGCGAACCGGAGAGCGCAAGCUGGAGGAAAUCGCACAAAUCACCCCCCAGUAUUCAGAUCGGAGGCUGCAACUCGCCUCCGUGAAGUUGGAAUCGCUAGUAAUCGCGGGAUCAGCUACGCCGCGGUGAAGGUGUUCUCUGAUGGCCUUGUACACACCGCGCCGGUACAAGUCAUGGGAGCCGGAAAUAGCCGAAGCCGCUGCGAUACUGCAGUGUCUACGCUAGGUUCGGUGACUGGGACU